AUAACCCUGUGACUGGGCUGUGGAGAGUCGGAGUGAGGGAGACAUCAGUGGAGGUGAUGUCCAUGGCCUUCAGCGGUAGAGGUAACACAUAACCCUGUGACUGGGCUGUGGAGAGUCGGAGUGAGGGAGACAUCAUAGAGGAGGUGAUGUCCAUGGCCUUCAGCGGUAGAGGUAACACAUAACCCUGUGACUGGGCUGUGGAGAGUCGGAGUGAGGGAGACAUCAUAGAGGAGGUGAUGUCCAUGGGCUUCAGCGGUAGAGGUAACACAUAACCCUGUGACUGGGCUGUGGAGGGCUGGAGUGAGGGAGACAUCAUAGAGGAGGUGAUGUCCAUGGCCUUCAGCGGUAGAGGUAACACAUAACCCUGUGACUGGGCUGUGGAGAGUCGGAGUGAGGGAGACAUCAGUGGAGGUGAUGUCCAUGGCCUUCAGCGGUAGAGGUAACACAUAACCCUGUGACUGGGCUGUGGAGAGUCGGAGUGAGGGAGACAUCAUAGAGGAGGUGAUGUCCAUGGGCUUCAGCGGUAGAGGUAACACAUAACCCUGUGACUGGGCUGUGGAGAGUCGGAGUGAGGGAGACAUCAUAGAGGAGGUGAUGUCCAUGGCCUUCAGCGGUAGAGGUAACACAUAACCCUGUGACUGGGCUGUGGAGAGUCGGAGUGAGGGAGACAUCAGUGGAGGUGAUGUCCAUGGCCUUCAGCGGUAGAGGUAACACAUAACCCUGUGACUGGGCUGUGGAGAGUCGGAGUGAGGGAGACAUCAGUGGAGGUGAUGUCCAUGGCCUUCAGCGGUAGAGGUAACACAUAACCCUGUGACUGGGCUGUGGAGAGUCGGAGUGAGGGAGACAUCAUAGAGGAGGUGAUGUCCAUGGGCUUCAGCGGUAGAGGUAACACAUAACCCUGUGACUGGGCUGUGGAGAGUCGGAGUGAGGGAGACAUCAUAGAGGAGGUGAUGUCCAUGGGCUUCAGCGGUAGAGGUAACACAUAACCCUGUGACUGGGCUGUGGAGAGUCGGAGUGAGGGAGACAACAGUGGAGGUGAUGUCCAUGGCCUUCAGCGGUAGAGGUAACACAUAACCCUGUGACUGGGCUGUGGAGAGUCGGAGUGAGGGAGACAUCAGUGGAGGUGAUGUCCAUGGCCUUCAGCGGUAGAGGUAACACAUAACCCUGUGACUGGGCUGUGGAGAGUCGGAGUGAGGGAGACAUCAGUGGAGGUGAUGUCCAUGGCCUUCAGCGGUAGAGGUAACACAUAACCCUGUGACUGGGCUGUGGAGAGUCGGAGUGAGGGAGACAUCAGUGGAGGUGAUGUCCAUGGUGAUUUAGAGGUAACACGCUGGUCAUAACACUGUGACUGGGCUGUGGAGAGUCGGAGUGAGGGAGACAUCAGUGGAGGUGAUGUCCAUGGCCUUCAGCGGUAAAUGUAGGCCAAGCUCUGAAUUUCUGCAAGUUUGUCAUAUCUUAUGAAGUAAGACAAAAAUAUAUUACAGAGUAUUGUCAAACUUGUUCAGAAUAAAUAUUGUUAAUUUCUUUUAACUUUUAUUAAGUGACCCUGCUUAUCAGUGGUUUGUCUAGUGUGUUUAUGUCUGUAUCAUGUGGACUAUUUGAGAGUGGCUGAGGGUAGGGGUAGCAGGAGUUGAGGAUGUUGAUGUGGACUAUUUGAGAGUGACUGUGAGUAGGGACAGUAGGAGUUGAGGAUGUUGAUGUGGACUAUUUGAGAGUGACUGAGUAGGGGCAGUAGGAGUUGAGGACGUUGAUGUGGACUAUUUGAGAGUGACUGUGAGUAGGGGCAGUAGGAGUUGAGGACGUUGAUGUGGACUAUUUGAGAGUGGCUGUGAGUAGGGGCAGUAGGAGUUGAGGACGUUGAUGUGGACUAUUUGAGAGUGGCUGUGAGUAGGGGCAGUAGGAGUUGAAGACGUUGAUGUGGACUAUUUGAGA